AUGUGGGCUCAAUGAGGGAUCAAUCUCGAACCUGUGAAACUGGUGUCGUGCUCACAAAUCUAACUAUCACAGCGAAAGGUCAAGCAGCUGAUGCAGCCAUGUCUUUCCUGCUGUGGGAUGUUUCUUCAUCAUCACUAAGCACAUGGCUAUUAGAGAAACAGUGGUGGAAUGAGGAAGAUGAAUGAGGAACUUGUCUCUCAAGCAGCUGGCGUUCUGGAAUGUCAAAACAGGUUGCUGACAAACCGGAUCUUCUCGGAUCGUCCGGGACAUGGUUAUACUCUGCAUCAUUCCUCAGAACGGUUCCUACUGUUAUGGUUUGAGAGUUAGAUUUCUUGGAAGAGAUGCUUGAGCUCUGUUUGGACCAACAACACUAUCACAUGGCCGGUCAUGGACGAUGUAUACACAGAACUCCUCC